AUUGAACGCUGGCGGCAGGCCUAACACAUGCAAGUCGAGCGGAUGAAGGGAGCUUGCUCCUGGAUUCAGCGGCGGACGGGUGAGUAAUGCCUAGGAAUCUGCCUGGUAGUGGGGGAUAACGUCCGGACACGGGCGCUAAUACCGCAUACGUCCUGAGGGAGAAAGUGGGGGAUCUUCGGACCUCACGCUAUCAGAUGAGCCUAGGUCGGAUUAGCUAGUUGGUGGGGUAAAGGCCUACCAAGGCGACGAUCCGUAACUGGUCUGAGAGGAUGAUCAGUCACACUGGAACUGAGACACGGUGCAGACUCCUACGGGAGGCAGCAGUGGGGAAUAAUGGACAAUGGGCGAAAGCCUGAUCCAGCCAUGCCGCGUGUGUGAAGAAGGUCUUCGGAUUGUAAAGCACUUUAAGUUGGGAGGAAGGGCAGUAAGUUAAUACCUUGCUGUUUUGACGUUACCAACAGAAUAAGCACCGGCUAACUUCGUG
rnacentral:rRNA from 1 species